rnacentral:rRNA from 1 species
UACAGAGGUCUCAAGCGUUGUUCGGAUUCAUUGGGCGUAAAGGGUGCGUAGGCGGCGCUGUAAGUCGGGUGUGAAAUCUCGGAGCUUAACUCCGAAACUGCAUUCGAUACUGCGGUGCUUGAGGACUGGAGAGGAGACUGGAAUUCAUGGUGUAGCGGUGAAAUGCGUAGAGAUCGUGAGGAAGACCAGUGGCGAAGGCGGGUCUCUGGACAGUUCCUGACGCUGAGGCACGAAGGCCAGGGGAGCAAACGGG